AUUGAACGCUGGCGGCAGGCCUAACACAUGCAGUCGAGCGGAUGAAGGGAGCUUGCUCCUGGAUUCAGCGGCGGACGGGUGAGUAAUGCCUAGGAAUCUGCCUGGUAGUGGGGGAUAACGUCCGGAAACGGGCGCUAAUACCGCAUACGUCCUGAGGGAGAAAGUGGGGGAUCUUCGGACCUCACGCUAUCAGAUGAGCCUAGGUCGGAUUAGCUAGUUGGUGGGGUAAAGGCCUACCAAGGCGACGAUCCGUAACUGGUCUGAGAGGAUGAUCAGUCACACUGGAACUGAGACACGGUCCAGACUCCUACGGGAGGCAGCAGUGGGGAAUAUUGGACAAUGGGCGAAAGCCUGAUCCAGCCAUGCCGCGUGUGUGAAGAAGGUCUUCGGAUUGUAAAGCACUUUAAGUUGGGAGGAAGGGCAGUAAGUUAAUACCUUGCUGUUUUGACGUUACCAACAGAAUAAGCACCGGCUAACUUCGUG
rnacentral:rRNA from 1 species